rnacentral:rRNA from 1 species
UACAGAGGGGGCAAGCGUUGUUCGGAAUUACUGGGCGUAAAGGGUGCGUAGGCGGCGCGGUAAGUCGGGUGUGAAAUCUUGGAGCUUAACUCCGAAACUGCAUUCGAUACUGCCGUGCUUGAGGACUGGAGAGGAGACUGGAAUUUACGGUGUAGCGGUGAAAUGCGUAGAUAUCGUAAGGAAGACCAGUGGCGAAGGCGGGUCUCUGGACAGUUCCUGACGCUGAGGCACGAAGGCCAGGGGAGCAAACGGG